rnacentral:rRNA from 1 species
AGUGAACGCUGGCGGUAGGCCUAACACAUGCAAGUCGAACGGCAGCACAGUAAGAGCUUGCUCUUACGGGUGGCGAGUGGCGGACGGGUGAGGAAUACAUCGGAAUCUACUUUUUCGUGGGGGAUAACGUAGGGAAACUUACGCUAAUACCGCAUACGACCUACGGGUGAAAGCAGGGGCUCUUCGGACCUUGCGCGAUUGAAUGAGCCGAUGUCGGAUUAGCUAGUUGGCGGGGUAGAGGCCCACCAAGGCGACGAUCCGUAGCUGGUCUGAGAGGAUGAUCACCCACACUGGAACUGAGACAGGGUCCAGACUCCUACGGGAGGCAGCAGUGGGGAAUAUUGGACAAUGGGCGCAAGCCUGAUCCAGCCAUACCGCGUGGGUGAAGAAGGACUUCGGGUUGUAAAGCCCUUUUGUUGGGAAAGAAAAGCAGCAGGUUAAUACCCCGCUGUUCUGACGGUACCCAAAGAAUAAGCACCGGCUAACUUCGUG